UCCGGAAUGAAAUCCUCCACCGCCGCUGCCGCCAAGGCCACGCCCAACCUGCUCUGUCUCGCCAAGAACUUUGGAUAUUACUGGAAGUGAUGCUCUAACCAGAGACGAUAAGUGUAUUGAGUAGUCUAGUUUUGCUUGGAAGAGAAUGAGAGCUUGCAUUUUGAAUUUAUGAGGUAUUUGAUAUGAUUGCUAUUGAUCUCUUUUUGUUUUGGCACUGAUCCAGCAUCUUCAUCACAUUCGUUCCUUGAUAUAUGUAGUUUCUUAAUUUCAGGGGUUACUUUACCUUUCUCAUGUGGGAUGGAAACAGGUUCAAGAUGUCAUAGA
rnacentral:lncRNA from 1 species